GGUUCUUUUGCAGCUCCGUGCUAAGAGUUAUAAAAUAUUGGUUUAAUGUUCGAAUAUUAGACAAUGCAUGUAAGAGAUUGCACACAGUGGGCUUUGGUUCAUUUUUGGAGUGUUUUCUGUAUAUAUUUCUUGGAAUUUUCCUACUUUUAUUUCCGUUUGCACUAAUAUUCUAAUGUGCGCCAUUUUCCCAUGUGCUCUUAACUGCGUGAAAUGUUUUCUUGAGUAGACGGAGCUGCAUCCCAGCUGAAAAGACUCACUAUUCUCUCCUUUUUACAGCUCUGUGUGCAGGGAAUUGUUUAUAGCCUUUCCUGUGUUUUGAAAAUGUUUAUUGCAAACUGUUAUGCUGUAUUAAUGUUCUAAUAAUUUUAUUUAUAUUCAUAAUUAAUGUUAAAUGCACUAUACGAUCACAUUUCAAUUUAAGACAAUUCAGAAUUUUGAUUUAUUUUUGUCUUGUUAAAUACAACACUAAGUAAAUUGUUUGUUAUAUUGAGAGCAGAGUUAGAGAGAACUGCUGUGGAUGGAGCUGCAUCCCAGCUGAAAAGACUCAUUAUUCUCUCCUUUUUACUGCUCUGUGUGCAGAAAAUAAAUGGUAAUAUCAUCCACAUUGAGUGUGUGUGCUGUUGAGGAGUGGAUCAGACUGGGCCAGGUUAGACCAAAGGUCACAUUAGGACAUCAGUGAUGUGUGUUCUGAGUUUGGUGACAGUACAGUGUAUUACAGUAAAGUUAUUGACUGUUUUUUGUAUUCGCUUUUCGGGGUUUGCACUUUGCAGAUGGUCCCUUGGAAUCUGUCUCUUCGGUGUUCGCACUUAGAGAAUUAUGUAUUUUGUCCAACGCGGAGGAAAGCUUAUAUUGAGGAAAAUUUGGUUUUAGCUGCCUCUCUAUAUUACUACGAUAAAAAUGAGGUGUUAUUCGUGUAGUAACACCCUUUAGCUCAGGAGCUAUUGACUCGGGAAAAUCGAAUCUGUGAAUAUGAGGCCAACUUUACUUAAGUCUCUUCUACUAGUGCUAACAACUUGUACUCGUUCUUAGAAUCAGCUGUUUAUCUAAUCAAAUUAUUGUACUCUCGAUCAGAUCUAAUACAAACAACUACAUUUGCUUUUGUUAGCACGCUUUGUAGACACCCCACCCCCCGCAAAAAAGACUAACGAAAUAACAAUGCCUUCACAAAAAAGAAGACAGAGAGAGAGAGCGAAGGGAGGCUGCUAAAGGCAGUUCAACACUGCAGACAUGGAUUAAAAGCUUCAGCAAGCCAGCAGAUGAGGCAGAGGCAGGCUCAGAGAGUGAGAGAGCCCAUUGAGUAUCAGCCAAAUCAGACACUUACAGAUGAAACUUGGAACUGAGCCAGAGACAGAAAAUGUACAGAAUGUGAAAGAAAGGCAAUACAAUGAGACAGAGAGGGAAGAGACAGACGCAGAACAGGAAGAAAUGGAGAGUGAGGCAGUCACAGCCAUGUACACAAGGGAGAAAAAGCAAGAAGACUGAGUUUUUGCUUCACUUACAAAAUCCAUCAGAUCCUGCUCAUGUAAAGAAAUACAAUAUAACAUACAAUGUGGCCUUCACAAAAUAUUCUUCUCUGAUCUUCUGCUCAUGGCCAUUGAAAAAAGACAUCCCAAUCAUAAAAGAUCUUUCAGGACAUGGUACCAAAUAAAAAAGUGUUGCUGUAAAUGGAACAGGUAAAUAUAAAAAUUGUAAAACAGCAAAUAGUUUCUGUUAUCAGCAAUGUGUAAUUGUUAUGUUCUAUCAAAACAUCUACAAUAAAGUCUAAAAUGUAUUUGAGCGUGUGCUAUCUUCUCGUUUAAUUGUACAUUUUGUAAUAACUGGAUAAUUUGUGUUAACAAGCAACCACCCCUUUACUGCCCCUUUUUUUGGUUUAGGCCACUGCCCCUCAAAAUGUCUGUGCACGGCCCUGUCCUCCACACUCAUUACACAUUCCAGUGAAAUC